GAUGAACGCUGGCGGCGUGGCUUAACACAUGCAAGUCGAACGGAGCUUGUCUGGAUAGAGGAUUCGUCCAAUUGAUUUCAAGCUUAGUGGCGGACGGGUGAGUAACGCGUGAGGAACCUGCCUUGGAGUGGGGAAUAACACAGUGAAAAUUGUGCUAAUACCGCAUAAUGCAGUUGAGUCGCAUGGCUCUGACUGCCAAAGAUUUAUCGCUCUAAGAUGGCCUCGCGUCUGAUUAGGUAGUUGGUAGGGUAACGGCCUACCAAGCCGACGAUCAGUAGCCGGACUGAGAGGUUGGCCGGCCACAUUGGGACUGAGACACGGCCCAG
rnacentral:rRNA from 1 species